rnacentral:lncRNA from 1 species
CUUGAAGUCAUGUAGUAUUGCCACUUCUGCAACUGGAGGAAAAUAACUGUGGCAAAGAACUGGAAACUGAAGGGAUGUACAUCAAUUGAGGAAAGACUGAACAAGUUGUACUAUAUGAUAUAAUGGAAUACUAUUGUGCCAUAAGAAAUGAUGGACAAGAGGUUCACAAAAAAACUUGGAAUUAUUUAUAUAAAGUGUCGCAAAGUGACAUGAGCAGGAUCAGGAGAAUACUAUACACAUUCACAGAUUCCCUGAAAUCUCUCCACAGGUUCUCAGAUGAAGAACUGGAUUCAAUGAUGUAA